GAAACAGAACGUGGUAACAACGCAACUCUUGAAACCGAAAAGCCUCCAAUCCCAAAUGAACGCAAACCCUAAUUCCUCCUCUUUAUAUAACAAACUCCAAAUUUGUAGUAGUUGACUGAACACACACACACAUUAUUCUCACAUGGAUGCACCACGUGUCACUCGGAGCUCUGGCGACCACAAUAUCCGUUGCGUCGGAUUGCUCGCUUCUGAUUCUUCUGCCACCACGAUUCCUCCGUCACGUCAUUCCGGCGACCGCCACAUGAUAUCCGGGGACUUCGAUUCCUCGAAAAAUCCAAACCUCGUCACUGCCAUUGAAAAAAAGGAAGAGUCUCUGCAAUCAAGUUCAAAGCCUUUGAAGGCUAAAACUACCAAAGCUGAGAGACGAGCCUUGCAGGAGGCACAGAGAGCUGCCAAAGCGGCUUUUAAAGGUGAGGGAAGUAAAGCAGUGGGUGAAUCUGAUAGAGCUGCCCAGGGUAAAAGUACAAAGCAGUCAUCGGAAAAGAAAGGUGGUCCUCCCUGUGCGUCUCCUGGGGAUACUGAUAUGAAAGCAGGAGAUCGUUCUUUGGAGAAAGAUAGGAAAAAGGAUGCUCCUCCUCCCCAAAUUCAAUUUGGCAGCAAAAGCCAAAUGGAAAGGGCUAGAAAGCGUGGAGUGGUCAAUCCAACUGAAUCUGGAAACGGAGUUGAAUUAUUUCAGCAUUUGCCUCAAUAUGAACACAGGACUCAGCUUUCUAAUCUCGAAUCAAAGUUUUUCCACAAUGAUUUAGUACAUCCUGCUGUAUUAGAGGUUGGACUGCGUUAUUCAACAGGAGAUAUAUCAGGGGGUAAUGCUCGUUGUAUUGCAAUGCUAAGGGCAUUUCAAGAUGCCAUUAGAGAUUACUGCACACCACAUGAAAAGGUCCUUGUUAGGGAUUUAACUUCAAAAAUCAAUAGUUAUGUAUCUUUCUUUACGGAAUGUAGACCACUUUCUAUGAGCAUGGGAAAUGCAAUUAGGUUUGUAAAGAGUCGUAUUGUCAAUCUUCCUUUAAGUCAUUCCGAGUUUGAGGCAAAAGCAGCCCUGUGUUCUGAUAUUGACCGGUUCAUAAAUGAAAAGAUAGUUCUCGCUGAUAAGGUGAUUGUCCAACAUGCUUUUACAAAGGUGAAGGAUGGGGAUGUGCUUCUCACAUAUGGAUUGUCAUGUGUUGUUGAGAUGACUUUUUUAUAUGCCCAUGAGCUGGGAAAACAGUUCCGUGUUGUGGUGGUAGAUUCACGGCCAAGGCUUGAAGGUCAGGCCUUACUUCGUGGGCUAGUGGCUAAGGGCCUGAGUUGCACAUAUAUUCAUAUAAAUGCUGUUUCUUAUAUCAUGCAUGAGGUCACUCGAGUUCUUCUGGGAGCUUCUGCAGUUUUUUCUGAUGGAACUGUCUAUUCAAGGGUUGGGACUUCUUGUGUUGCAAUGGUGGCUCAUGCAUUUCGUGUUCCUGUAUUAAUCUGUUGUGAAGCAUAUAAAUUUCAUGAGAGGGUGCUACUCGAUUCAAUAUGUUCUAACGAACUAGGCGAUCCAGAUGCUAUUGCCAGGGUUGCUGGACGAAUGGAUGUCGAUUAUCUGAAAAAUUGGGCCAGUGAAGACAAUUUGAAGCUUUUGAAUUUGAUGUAAGCUUAAUAUAUUUCAUUUGUGUGAACAUCUUAUCCCCCAAGAAAUGAAGAAAUGGUUAUCACUGAGUUUAUUUUCACUGACAGGUCCCUCCUACAAGCGUGCCUGUAAUAGUACGGGAAUAUCUACGAGAGCAUUUGUUAUUCUAGAUAUGCAGAAGCCAGAAAGUGGUCUUAACAGUCUUCAUGGAUUUAGAUUAAUGGAAUUUUUUAUAUACUUGAAUUUUAAUUAGUGAAUGUUUUUAGGCUUUCUACUCCCAGCAAUUUUGGAGAUGCAUUUAAUUUCAAUUUAUAAUUAUUUAUUUAUUCUCUUUUGGUCCAGAAAGUUGUCAGCAUUGUAAUAACUUUUGGUGUCAGAAUAACAGGAUACUAGGCCAUUGUGCAUACAGCAUAGAUAAUGGGUUUUAGUCACAUUUGUACAAGCCACCGAUUUGAUCGGCUAUAUUUUUAUUAGCACUUAGCACUUAGCAGUAUGCCGGAGCUCUGCCUGAAAUUUACAGGGUGCCCGGAACCUGAAGUAUGAAGACGGACUUGCAAGUCAUGUAUACGUCGAUACAUCAUAAUAUGAUAAUUGUCUAUUAUGAUAAUAAUCAAAAGAAAUUUAUAUUUAA